rnacentral:rRNA from 1 species
GAUGAACGCUGGCGGCGUGCCUAAUACAUGCAAGUCGAGCGAACAGACGAGGAGCUUGCUCCUCUGAUGUUAGCGGCGGACGGGUGAGUAACACGUGGAUAACCUACCUAUAAGACUGGGAUAACUUCGGGAAACCGGAGCUAAUACCGGAUAACAUGUUGAACCGCAUGGUUCAACAGUGAAAGACGGUCUUGCUGUCACUUAUAGAUGGAUCCGCGCCGCAUUAGCUAGUUGGUAAGGUAACGGCUUACCAAGGCAACGAUGCGUAGCCGACCUGAGAGGGUGAUCGGCCACACUGGAACUGAGACACGGUCCAGACUCCUACGGGAGGCAGCAGUAGGGAAUCUUCCGCAAUGGGCGAAAGCCUGACGGAGCAACGCCGCGUGAGUGAAGAAGGUCUUCGGAUCGUAAAACUCUGUUAUUAGGGAAGAACAAAUGUGUAAGUAACUAUGCACGUCUGACGGUACCUAAUCAGAAAGCCACGGCUAACUACGUG